rnacentral:rRNA from 1 species
GGCAGCAGCACACCACCCUGCAUCCCACUGCUGGCUUGCUUCUGAAGCUAAGCAGGGUUGGUCCUGGUCCUGGUCAGUCCCUGGAUGGGAGACCAGAUGCUGCUGGAA